rnacentral:rRNA from 1 species
CAGCAGCCGCGGUAAUACGUAGGGUGCAAGCGUUAUCCGGAAUUAUUGGGCGUAAAGAGCUCGUAGGCGGUUUGUCGCGUCUGCUGUGAAAACUGGAGGCUCAACCUCCAGCCUGCAGUGGGUACGGGCAGACUAGAGUGCGGUAGGGGAGAUUGGAAUUCCUGGUGUAGCGGUGGAAUGCGCAGAUAUCAGGAGGAACACCGAUGGCGAAGGCAGAUCUCUGGGCCGUAACUGACGCUGAGGAGCGAAAGCAUGGGGAGCGAACAGGAUUAGAUACCCCCGUAGUCCCUGUCUCUUAUAC